AUGCUCCUAGUCACUACAGCUUUAUGUUUUGGAGAAUUACAAGUAAAUUGAACCAAGCAGUGUGUAACAUCUUUGAGACCGGCUUCACUCAGCACAGUGUCUCUGAGAUUCGUCUUAGAUGCUGUGUAGCAUGGUAACCAAUGCCUGUAUCCUGGAUGCCCAGAGGCCCUCGAUCUGUCCUGAAGGAUUUUGGAACACAGACCAGCUGGGCAUUUUUGUGCAUGCAAGACCUGCCUUCGCAAUGAUCUUAAGAUGUCACUGUAGCGUUUACAUCUUUUAUUUCAAGAUUUAAAUAACUAGGAAGUAGCUAAUGUAAUUCACUGCUGAGAAGAAAGGCGAGCUCCUCGAUUCCUUUCCAAAGCGAUCUCCUCCUAAUGAACUUCUCUGGACUAGGGAAGACAGAAGCCCCUCCCAUUCGCUUCUACUGGGGCUUGUUAAGCCAUCGCCUUGGGGGCCGGCUGAUCAGCAGCAGCCAGCAGCCAGCGGCUUCGGCAGGCAGGAACAAGGACAGCCUGUGGCUACUGCAGCACCACU
rnacentral:lncRNA from 1 species